AGGUGUUGUUGGGUAGGGGAGCGUUCUGUAAGCCUGUGAAGGUGGCCUGUGAGGGUUGCUGGAGGUAUCAGAAGUGCGAAUGCUGACAUAAGUAACGAUAAAGCGGGUGAAAAGCCCGCUCGCCGGAAGACCAAGGGUUCCUGUCCAACGUUAAUCGGGGCAGGGUGAGUCGACCCCUAAGGCGAGGCCGAAAGGCGUAGUCGAUGGGAAACGGGUUAAUAUUCCCGUACUUGGUGUUACUGCGAAGGGGGGACGGAGAAGGCUAUGUUGGCCGGGCGACGGUUGUCCCGGUUUAAGCGUGUAGGUGUGUGUUCCAGGUAAAUCCGGUUCACUUUAACACUGAGGCGUGACGACGAGGCACUACGGUGCUGAAGCAACAAAUGCCCUGCUUCCAGGAAAAGCCUCUAAGCAUCAGGUAACAUCAAAUCGUACCCCAAACCGACACAGGUGGUCAGGUAGAGAAUACCAAGGCGCUUGAGAGAACUCGGGUGAAGGAACUAGGCAAAAUGGUGCCGUAACUUCGGGAGAAGGCACGCUGACACGUAGGUGAAGUGAUUUACUCAUGGAGCUGAAGUCAGUCGAAGAUACCAGCUGGCUGCAACUGUUUAUUAAAAACACAGCACUGUGCAAACACGAAAGUGGACGUAUACGGUGUGACGCCUGCCCGGUGCCGGAAGGUUAAUUGAUGGGGUCAGCGCAAGCGAAGCUCCUGAUCGAAGCCCCGGUAAACGGCGGCCGUAACUAUAACGGUCCUAAGGUAGCGAAAUUCCUUGUCGGGUAAGUUCCGACCUGCACGAAUGGCGUAAUGAUGGCCAGGCUGUCUCCACCCGAGACUCAGUGAAAUUGAACUCGCUGUGAAGAUGCAGUGUACCCGCGGCAAGACGGAAAGACCCCGUGAACCUUUACUAUAGCUUGACACUGAACAUUGAGCCUUGAUGUGUAGGAUAGGUGGGAGGCUUUGAAGUGUGGACGCCAGUCUGCAUGGAGCCGACCUUGAAAUACCACCCUUUAAUGUUUGAUGUUCUAACGUGGACCCGUAAUCCGGGUUGCGGACAGUGUCUGGUGGGUAGUUUGACUGGGGCGGUCUCCUCCUAAAGAGUAACGGAGGAGCACGAAGGUUGGCUAAUCCUGGUCGGACAUCAGGAGGUUAGUGCAAUGGCAUAAGCCAGCUUGACUGCGAGCGUGACGGCGCGAGCAGGUGCGAAAGCAGGUCAUAGUGAUCCGGUGGUUCUGAAUGGAAGGGCCAUCGCUCAACGGAUAAAAGGUACUCCGGGGAUAACAGGCUGAUACCGCCCAAGAGUUCAUAUCGACGGCGGUGUUUGGCACCUCGAUGUCGGCUCAUCACAUCCUGGGGCUGAAGUAGGUCCCAAGGGUAUGGCUGUUCGCCAUUUAAAGUGGUACGCGAGCUGGGUUUAGAACGUCGUGAGACAGUUCGGUCCCUAUCUGCCGUGGGCGCUGGAGAACUGAGGGGGGCUGCUCCUAGUACGAGAGGACCGGAGUGGACGCAUCACUGGUGUUCGGGUUGUCAUGCCAAUGGCACUGCCCGGUAGCUAAAUGCGGAAGAGAUAAGUGCUGAAAGCAUCUAAGCACGAAACUUGCCCCGAGAUGAGUUCUCCCUGAGACUUUAAGUCUCCUGAAGGAACGUUGAAGACGACGACGUUGAUAGGCCGGGUGUGUAAGCGCAGCGAUGCGUUGAGCUAACCGGUACUAAUGAACCGUGAGGCUUAACCUUACAAC
rnacentral:rRNA from 1 species